CUGCCGUGAUGCUUUCUUAGGACACCUUUGGAUUUACAGUGAAUAUUAAUCAGUUCUGAGCAGC
rnacentral:snoRNA from 1 species